CAGGUACUCACUCCGUCCGAAAAUACUUGUCAUCAAAAUGGAUAAAAAAGAUGUAUCUAGAACUAAUAUACAUCUAGAUACAUCCCCUUUUAUUCAUUUUGAUGACAAGUAUUUCCGGACAGAGGGAGUACUAC
rnacentral:pre_miRNA from 1 species